rnacentral:piRNA from 1 species
GAAACUCUUUGUUUUUAGGUUUGUUU